rnacentral:rRNA from 1 species
CUAAGGCUCCAGAGGAAGCCACGGCUAACUCUGUGCCAGCAGCCGCGGUAAUACAGAGGCGGCAAGCGUUGUUCGGAAUUAUUGGGCGUAAAGAGCACGUAGGCGGCCUUGCAAGUCAGUUGUGAAAGCCUCCCGCUUAACGGAAGAAUGCCAGCUGAUACUACAGGGCUUGAGUACGGGAGGGGAGAGUGGAACUUCUGGUGGAGCGGUGAAAUGCGUAGAUAUCAGAAGGAACGCCGGCGGCGAAAGCGACUCUCUGGCCCGAAACUGACGCUGAGUGUGCGAAAGCUAGGGGAGCAAACGGGAUUAGAUACCCCGGUAGUCCUAGCCGUAAA